rnacentral:rRNA from 1 species
AAUGAUUUUUAAUUCCUUUUUUAUAAGUAAAUUAAUAUUUUAUAAGUAAAAUAAUUGAGAUUUUUGUUAGGAUAAAAGUACCGUGAGGGAAAAUGUUUACAAAAAAGAAGUAAUAUUUUGUACCUUUUGUAUCAGGGUUUGUUUAAUUUACUUUAGAAUUAAUUUUUCCCGAAAACAAAUGAUUUAUUUACUUUCAAUGUCUUUGUGUUAUAAAAUUAUUAAAAAAGUAAAUCGUUGUUAUAAAUAAUUCGUAUUUGUAUAUCUGGUUAGUUGUUUUUCUUUUUAGAAGUGAGCAAAUUUUUGCUUUAUUUAUUAGGGGAUGAGCUCUGAUAAAAUUUAAAUUAUUUUUAUUUUUAUAUAACUUUUUAGGCUUAGAAAUUGCCUCUUUGUAAUAAUUACAUUAAUUAUAACUUUAUUUAAUUAUAAUUAAAAUAUUAGCAACUUGGUUUUUAAAUUUUCUUAAUUACUUAAUAAUGAUAAAAUUAGUAGAGAAAAAAUUAUUUUUUAAAAAGAUUUAUUGGAGAAUAAUAAAUAAACUAAAAAAGGAACUCGGCAAUUUUAGUUUCCGCCUGUUUAACAAAAACAUGGCCUUUGAUAUUUUUAAGGUCUGGCCUGCCCACUGAGAUUUGAAGGGCCGUGGUAUACUGACCAUGCGAAGGUAGCAUAAUCAUUUGCCUCUUAAUUAGGGGCUGGAAUGAAGGGUUAGACGAGAAACUGACUGUCUCUUUUAGUUACUUGAAUUUAAUUAUUUGGUGAAAAAGCUAAAAUUUUCUUGGAGGACGAUAAGACCCUAUAGAUCUUUAUAGAUUUAGGUUUAACUUUUUGGUUGUUAUUAAUUUAGGCUAAAUUUUAUUUUGUUGGGGCGACAUUGAGUGACGAUAAAUCUCUCAUGAUUUUCUUACAGUAAUUAUUGAGACAUGAUCCUUUAAUGAAUUAGGAUAAAGUUACCUUAGGGAUAACAGCGUAAUUUUCUUUGAGAGUUCUAAUCGACAAGAAAGUUUGCGACCUCGAUGUUGGUUCAGGAUUCCUUUUAGGCGCAGUAGUUUAGAAAGGUAGUCUGUUCGACUAUUAAAUUCCUACGUGAUCUGAGUUCAGACCGGCGUAAGCCAGGUUAGUUUCUACCCUCAAGAUUUUAUGAUAAAAGUAGUACGAAAGGACCCUUUUAUCUUUUAUGUUUAAUAUGUUAGGUGAUAUUUUUAAGCACCAAUAC